rnacentral:misc_RNA from 1 species
GAUGAAGAACGUAGCGAAAUGCGAUAAGUAAUGUGAAUUGCAGAAUUCAGUGAAUCAUCGAAUCUUUGAACGCACAUUGCGCCCCCUGGUAUUCCGGGGGACAUGCCUGUCCGAGCGUCAUUGCUGCCCUCAAGCACGGCUUGUGUGUUGGGCCUCCGUCCUCCUCCCGGGGGACGGGCCCGAAAGGCAGCGGCGGCACCGCGUCCGGUCCUCGAGCGUAUGGGGCUUCGUCACCCGCUCUUGUAGGCCCGGCCGGCGCUUGCCGACACAUCAAUCUUUUUUCCAGGUUGACCUCGGAUCAGGUAGGGAUACCCGCUGAACUUAAGCAUAUCAAUAAGCGGAGGA